rnacentral:piRNA from 1 species
CCAUCAUGGUCCUACCAAUAUGUGAUGGC